UACGGAGGGCGCUAGCGUUGUUCGGAAUUACUGGGCGUAAAGCGCGCGUAGGCGGCUUUGUAAGUUAGAGGUGAAAGCCCGGGGCUCAACCCCGGAACAGCCUUUAAGACUGCAUCGCUAGAAUCCGGGAGAGGUGAGUGGAAUUCCGAGUGUAGAGGUGAAAUUCGUAGAUAUUCGGAAGAACACCAGUGGCGAAGGCGGCUCACUGGACCGGUAUUGACGCUGAGGCGCGAAAGCUAGGGGAGCAAACGGG
rnacentral:rRNA from 1 species